rnacentral:lncRNA from 1 species
UGCGUUAAUUGCUUCCUCAUUUCAUAUUCAACUCUCUCCUUUCUUGUAGUAACUCAUAAUUUAAUUAUAUAUACUACUCAUAUUAUGAACAUAAGACUUAAACCCUAAAGAAAAAGUUUAGUUAAGAAGAGAUGGCACAUAGUAGAAGAAAUAUUAGGGUUUUGAGCUUAGCCAUUUUAUUGGUUAGUGUUAUUGUAGCUUGUAGUCUUUUGGACGGAUGUUUUGCACAGGCAGGGUACGGCGUCACCUUGAAUGAAGAGAGCAAUAUUGGUAAAUUUCAUGCAGCUCUAACUUUCUGCAAUAGUGCUGAUGUUGAAAAUCAAAGUUGUUGUAAAGCACUCAAUGCUCUUGAUCUAGCAUGGAAUUCUUUGCUUGGAAGGAAUUUUGUAGAUGAUCUCUUCAAAUGUGGUAUUAUUCCACCACGUUGAGUUAGUUACAUUAUAUAUUUUCUUGUCCGUAGAAUUUUAUUACUACAUCUUGUUUCUUUCGAUUCGGUUUUCUCUCUAUCUUAUCAUGUAGUUGUUACCGUUUGUUAUUACUAUUUCCUAUUCAUCUUUUCUUGAGUCGAGAUCUAUUCGAUAUAAUAUCUCCACCUUCACAGAAUAGGAGUAAGGUUUGCGUAUCCACAGAGACGAAUACAAUGUAGUAUCUCUUUACCUUCACAAAGUAAGAGUAUAAGAUCUGCGCACCCAUAGAGGCAGAAGCAAUGUAUCGAUAUCGGGUUAAACUGGACGCAGUACUUUUGAUACGGAGCAUAAAUUUAUAUGUGAAAAUCCAUUAAUGUUGUAAUAUAUAGCAAUAUCAACCCAUAACUUUUAAAUGACAGUGAGUACAACGCUAAAAAACAUAAAGGUUUGUACCCAUAAACUAUAAAUACUAGAUCCGCCUCUAUGUAUACAUUACCC